rnacentral:lncRNA from 1 species
UGGUUCAGGUCUGGGGUCGCUUCUUCUGGAGCGUCUCUCUGUUGACUACGGAAAGAAGUCAAAACUUGGUUUCACAAUUUACCCUUCACCACAGGUCUCAACUUCUGUUGUUGAGCCUUACAACAGUGUCCUCUCAACUCAUUCCCUCCUUGAGCACACUGAUGUUUCCAUCCUUCUGGACAACGAAGCCAUUUAUGACAUUUGCAGGCGCUCACUGGACAUUGAGCGCCCUACUUACACCAACCUUAACCGCCUUAUCUCACUUGAUGUUUCCAUCCUUCUGGACAAUGAAGCCAUUUAUGACAUUUACAGGCGCUCACUGGACAUUGAGCGCCUUACUUACACCAACCUUAACCGCCUUAUCUCACAGGUUAUCUCCUCACUCACAGCAUCUUUGAGGUUUGAUGGUUCUUUAAAUGUUGAUGUGAACGAAUUCCAGACCAAUCUUGUGCCAUAUCCCAGGAUCCAUUUUAUGC